UACAGAGACUGCGAGCGUUAUUCGGAUUCACUGGGCGUAAAGGGUGCGCAGGUGGCUAGGUGUGUUAGGCGUGAAAGCCCGGGGCUUAACCCCGGAAUUGCACCUAAAACUACUUGGCUAGAGCAUUGGAGAGGGGAGCAGAAUUCAUGGUGUAGCAGUGAAAUGCGUAGAUAUCAUGAGGAAUAUCAGAGGCGAAGGCGGCUCCCUGGACAAUUGCUGACACUCAGGCACGAAAGCGUGGGGAGCAAAAGGG
rnacentral:rRNA from 1 species